UUUCCAGACUCCUACGGGAGGCAGCAGUGAGGAAUAUUGGUCAAUGGCCGGAAGGCUGAACCAGCCAAGCCGCGUGAAGGACGAAGGUGCCAAGCAUUGUAAACUUCUUUUGUCAAGGGACAAAAUCAGGCUCGAGAGCCUGACCGAGGGUACUUGAAGAAAAAGCAUCGGCUAACUCCGUGCCAGCAGCCGCGGUAAUACGGAGGAUGCGAGCGUUAUCCGGAUUUAUUGGGUUUAAAGGGUGCGUAGGCGGGACGGUAAGUCAGCGGUAAAAAUGCGAAGCUCAACUCCGGCGAGCCGUUGAAACUGCCGUUCUUGAGUGAGCGAGAAGUAUGCGGAAUGCGUGGUGUAGCGGUGAAAUGCAUAGAUAUCACGCAGAACUCCGAUUGCGAAGGCAGCAUACCGGCGCUCAACUGACGCUGAAGCACGAAGGCGUGGGUAUCGAACAGGAUUAGAUACCCUAGUAC
rnacentral:rRNA from 1 species